GUCGGUCAGAGGGGGGAUGAGGCAAAAAGUAUGGUAGCUGUCAUCACAACCGUCACAUAGUAACAAGCGGUCUUCGUCUCCCCCACUGCCACAAACCAGACACACCACCAGAUCCACCUAGACAAUAAAGGAAGUAGUAACGAAGUACUGUAGCAGUUAAGUCAUUUGGAAACAUACCUGGUUCCGGCUUGGCAACAAAAGAGCCCAUCCUCCUCCUCAAGUUUGGACGAUUCUCGCCUGGCUCGCCUGGUUCGGUCUUCACACAUACAGACUACAGGGAAAAGGUGACAAUGCAGGUCAUGUGAAACAACUCCAUGUCGCCGAUAUGGUGGCUAUAACAAGUCAACACAUCUCUGUUCAAAAUGGUAGAUUUCCAUGAUGUAAAAAAAAACCCAGCAGAAUACAAGGAUUAUUAGUUUUGAAAUA